AGACUCCUUGGGUCGACUAAAAGCGGCCACGUUCUGUGGCCAACGUCGACACUUGAGCGUCCUGCUCU
rnacentral:sRNA from 1 species